rnacentral:rRNA from 2 species
UUCCGGUUGAUCCUGCCGGACCUGACUGCUAUCGGAUUGAUACUAAGCCAUGCGAGUCUUUGUAGUAAUACAAGGCAGACGGCUCAGUAACACGUAGUCAACCUACCCUAUGGACAAGAAUAAUCUCGGGAAACUGGGCAUAAUUCUUGAUAGAUCAUAAUGCCUGGAAUGGUUUAUGGUUAAAAUGAUUCGUCGCCAUAGGAUGGGACUGCGGCCUAUCAGCUUGUUGGUGAGGUAAUGGCCCACCAAGGCGAUUACAGGUACGGGCUCUGAGAGGAGAAGCCCGGAGAUGGGUACUGAGACACGGACCCAGGCCCUAUGGGGCGCAGCAGGCGAGAAAACUUUGCAAUGUGCGAAAGCACGACAAGGUUAAUCCGAGUGAUUUCUGCUAAAGAAAUCUUUUGCCAGUCAUAAAACCACUGGUGAAUAAGGGGUGGGCAAGUUCUGGUGUCAGCCGCCGCGGUAAAACCAGCACCUCAAGUGGUCAGGAUGAUUAUUGGGCCUAAAGCAUCCGUAGCCGGCUUUGUUAGUUUUCGGUUAAAUCCAUGUGCUCAACGCAUGGGCUGCCGAAAAUACUGCAUGGCUAGGGAGUGGGAGAGGUAGACGGUACUCAGUAGGAAGGGGUAAAAUCCUUUGAUCUAUUGAUGACCACCUGUGGCGAAGGCGGUCUACCAGAACACGUUCGACGGUGAGGGAUGAAAGCUGGGGGAGCAAACCGGAUUAGAUACCCGGGUAGUCCCAGCUGUAAACGAUGCAGACUCGAUGAUGCAUUGGCAUAAUAGCCAGUGCAGUGUCGCAGGGAAGCCGUUAAGUCUGCCGCCUGGGAAGUACGUACGCAAGUAUGAAACUUAAAGGAAUUGGCGGGGGAGCACCACAAGGGGUGAAGCCUGCGGUUCAAUUGGAUUCAACGCCGGG